GAAUCCCGUAUAUGGCAUGGACUACCGUUACUCUGUGAUACACUCUCGACGAGUCGAGUUGUUUGGGAAUGCAGCUCCAAAUGGGUGGUAAAUGCCAUCUAAAGCUAAAUAUUGGCGAGAGACCGAUAGCGAACAAGUACCGUGAGGGAAAGAUGAAAAGCACUUUGGAAAGAGAGUGAAACAGUACGUGAAAUUGUUGAAAGGGAAACGCUUGAAGUCAGUCGCGCCGUUCGGGAUUCAGCCUUGCUUCUGCUCGGUUUACUUCCCGUUGGGUGGGUCAACAUCAGUUUUGGUCGGAGGAGAAAGGCUUGGGGAAGGUGGCAGCAUUCGUGCUGUGUUAUAGCCCCUUGUUGUAUACUUCGACUGGGACUGAGGACCGCAGCACGCCUUUGGCCGGGGUUCGCCCACGUACGUGCUUAGGAUGUUGGCAUAAUGGCUUUAAGCGACCCGUCUUGAAACACGGACCAAGGAGUCUAACAUGUGCGCGAGUGUUUGAGUGUUAAACUCAGACGCGAAAUGAAAGUGAAAAGUUGGGAACACUCAUGUGUGCACCGACGCCCGGAGCUGACCUUCUGUGACGCAUCUGCGGUAGAGCGUAUAUGUUGGGACCCGAAAGAUGGUGAACUAUGCCUGAAUAGGGUGAAGCCAGAGGAAACUCUGGUGGAGGCUCGUAGCGAUUCUGACGUGCAAAUCGAUCGUCAAAUUUGGGUAUAGGGGCGAAAGACUAAUCGAACCAUCUAGUAGCUGGUUCCUGCC
rnacentral:rRNA from 1 species